UUGACCUCAAAUCGGGUGAGACUACCCGCUGAACUUAAGCAUAUCAAUAAGCGGAGGAAAAGAAACUAACAAGGAUUCCCCUAGUAACUGCGAGUGAAGCGGGAAAAGCUCAAAUUUAAAAUCUGGCGGUCUUUGGCCGUCCGAGUUGUAAUUUAGAGAAGCGUCUUCCGCGCUGGACCGUGCACAAGUCUCCUGGAAUGGA
rnacentral:rRNA from 1 species